GCCAGUGUAGUGUAGCGGUUUACACACUAGAUGAUAACUCUGGAGAUCGGGAUUCAAUUCUCUGCGCAGCCA